rnacentral:tRNA from 1 species
UGGGGAAUCGUCUAAUGGCAGGACGUGUGACUCUGGAUCACAAAAUCGGGGUUCGAGUCCCUGUUCCCCAA